GCCUUGCCAAUAAUAUCAACUCAUCCUAGAUACCAGGAUUCAAAUUUUCUACGCCAGACGCGCGUUUCGCCUACUAUAGAAUCAUUAGUGACGCUCAAACCAAAAGAGUUAAAAAGACAGAAUAAAGUACGAAUUUGAAGAGCAUUGAGGACCCAAAAUCCUGAAAGAUUUUGCCAAAUACAGUUUAGGUAGAAAAUCCUUAGUUUUUCGAAAAAAUCAUAGUUUGGUAAACAUUUAAUCUAUAUUAUGACCAUAUCAAUGAUAAUUCAUGUCAACACAGAAGUGCUGACUAUUGGGCUGAUGACAUAAGAGACCAAAAUAGAUUUACCCAAUAAAUGCAUUUUGAAUCAUGCUACUGCGCAUGUUGCUGUCGUAAUGAAUAAUGAUAAAAUGGUUCAUUAUAUGCUAAGAUCUAUUUUUAAAAAGUAUUAACCAAUCAUAUCACACCACAAACAUAGAAAACAUCUAUUAAACACUAGAAAAGUGACAACAGUAAUUAUUUUGCACCAUUUUAAGAUAUUGGUACAUUUUAGUCAUGGUGUUUUAUGACAACAAAUUUUUUGCAGGCUAAACGCAGCAAAGGGUGAAUUUCAAAUUAGGAAAAAAAUAGAAUAAGACGAAGAGGAGCAGACAGUAAAAAUAUACCAUGGGGAGAGACACAGACAGGUUAAGCAUCAUUAGCAUGAACGCUUCUGGAAGAAAGGGCAGGGAGUUUCAGGAUUAUCGAAAGUCUUAUCUAAACGAUGUAGUCGGACAAAAUCAACCCGACAUACUAUUUUUGCCGGGAGACGAGCCUGAUAUGUCAUCACCAGUGUUAACGGACUAUCGUCAAGCACAAGUCGUUCACAAUAACGAGACUGUACUUUUGUACGAUACGAAGAGAUUGCAAUUGCAAACCGAAAACUGGUAUAAUCUGAUACCAUCGUUAGUGGUUCCUGGCAUCGAACAGGGCAAAUUGAUGUAUCCCUUAGUCAACAUCUUGGCUCCUAAACCCACUCAACAUAUUGUCAAGCAGUUCCAUUGUAUCAGUUGGCAUUGGGAGCUUACGCAAACAACAUCCCAGGAACUGUAUACGUUUGCCUCCUGCUAUUUAUGGUUGGCACAAUAUCUUGGAUGGAGUCAUGGAGUAGAGAUUUUGAUAGGAGGCGAUUUUAAUUUAAAACGUCCACAGAUACAACAACUCGUAGAUGAACAUAAUCAAAAAGUUCAAAAUUCAAUUGAUAAUGUUAAACCUUUCUUCAGAGAAAUGGGCUUUUUGGAUGACAUGACAGAUAAUGUACAUCGGCCAGGACGUCGGCUCCGACAACUUAAGCUUCACCAGUGUAAGUCUGUAGCAGGUAUCAAUCAAGAAACGGACUACUUCGUUGCAUCAAAAGAAAUGCAGUUAUGUAAAACUGAAAUGAUGACUGCAUCCACACUUCCAGGAAGAUGUACCACACUAACAUUAACCAAGCCAGCUAAUCAGAGUUACUGUCCUUUGCCAACGAAGACAGAAAUGUGCAUUCCAGCAAGGCCACCCAGACACAAUGGUGGUUAACUUAGUUUUGCUUAACAUUUAAAGUCAAGAGCACACACUUUUCUAUUAUUAUUUAUAACAUUAUCAUAAAUGUCGUUGUUUGAUUCAGUUUUCUUAUGAGUUAGGGUAUAUAGUUUGUUAAAAAAAAUGGGGAACAACUCUCCGAAAUAAUUAAUAAAAUUAAAAUGUUAAAACUGUCCGUUUCAUUUUCCUAUAUGUAUUAUUCUAGUUUCUCUACUGAAAUAUGACAAAUGAGUUCAUGCUGUAGAUGUGAAUUAUGUCGGAAAAAACUGCUACUAGACACACAGACAUGAAUAUUGUGUCUUAAAUUUUCUUAUUCAGAACUUAAACUUACCCCCUACAGCAUAUUGAUGUAUUAUUUGGAAUUUUAAUAUGAUUAUGAAGCGGCCUGUUUGUGUUCAAUCGACAGCAUGUAAUUACUCUGUUAAUCUGGGUACCUUUUUUGCCAAUAAAACAAUACUGUUUAA